rnacentral:rRNA from 1 species
CUGUUUAUAGUUUUUGAGAUAUUAGUACCAGUCAGCUGAAAUAUGUUACCAUACUUACACAUCUGGCCUAUCAACGUGAUAGUCUAUCACUUCUCUUAAUAGAAUGUAUUUUCGGUUUAGCUUCCGGCUUAGAUGCAUUCAGCUGUUAUCUAUUCCAUACUUAGCUAUCCUGCCAUGCUGUUUGGCAACAACAACAGGUAUACCAGAGGUAUGUCCAUCUCGGUCCUUUCGUACUAGAGACAGAAUCCGUCAACAUUCUUUUUCCCACGGCAGAUAGGGACCGAACUGUCUUGCGACGUUCUGAACCCAACUCACGUACCGCUUUAAAUGGCGAACAGCCAUACCCUUGGGACCUUGUUCAGCCCCAGGAUGCGAUGAGUCGACAUCGAGGUGCCAAGCAACCCCGUCGAUAAGAACUCUUAGGGGUUAUUAGCCUGUUAUCCCCGGCGUACCUUUUAUCCGUUGAGCAAUGUCCUUUCCACUUAGAUUCAUUGGAUCACUAUGACCGACUUUCGUCUCUGCUCGACAUGUCUGCCUCGCAGUCUUAAGCAGGCAUAUGCCAUUGUACUCUACCGACGAUUUCCAAACGUCAUGAGCCUACCUUAUGUACACCUCCGUUACUCUUUAGGAGGCGACCGCCCCAGUCAAACUACCCACCUUGCAUUGUUUCACAUCAAGAUUGGCUUGUAGUAAUAAAGAUAUUAUUUGACAAUAGGAUGGUGUUUCAUUGACAGCUUAUGUUAAACUUACGUCCAACGUUCAUCGCUUACCAUCUACACUAUACAAUUGAUCAAAGUACAUCGAUACAAGGUUGUAGUAAAGGUGCACGGGGUCUUUCCGUCUUGCCGCAGGUACCCCGCAUCUUCACGGGGAUUUCAAUUUCACUGAGCUUGUGCUGGAGACAGCGAGGAAGUCGUUACGCCAUUCAUGCAGGUCGGAACUUACCCGACAAGGAAUUUCGCUACCUUUGGACCGUUAUAGUUACGGCCGCCGUUUACAUGGGGUUUCAUCAAAACGCUAUUAACAUUUAGAUUUCACUUACCAGCACCGGGCAGGCGUCAGACUCUAUACUUCAUCUUACGAUUUUGCAGAGUCCUGUGUUUUUGAUAAACAGUCGCUUCCUCCAUUUCUAUUAUACCCAACCUUGGUUACCCAAAGCGGGUUAUGUUUCUCCCGAAGUUACACAUACAAUUUGCCGAGUUCCUUCAGCACAAUUAUCUCAAACACCUUAGUAUACUCUACCCAACCACCUGUGUCAGUUUUUGGUACGGUCUAUAUCCACAAGUUGUUUCUUGUUAACAAUUAAACGUAUGCCAAACCAAUCCAAGUUAAGGAUUUAGACAAGGUUUAAAUUAAGUCACUUGUGAAAGGCUCACGAAUAUUAACGUGAUUGCCAUCGGUUAUGCGCUUACGCUUGGCCUAAGGUACCGGCUAACCCUAUUCGGAACAUCCUGGAAUAGGAAACCUUGGUCUUUCGGUGUGAAAGAUUCUUACUUUCAAUUAUCGUUACUCAUGUCAACAUUCUCGCUUCCGAUGUCUCCAACAACCCUCACAGGUUGCCUUCUAUGACUUACGGAAUGCUCUGCUACCACAUUGCUCAAAUCGGCAAUGUCCUUGACUUCGGUACUGAACUUAGUCCCGUUACAUUUUCGGCAUAAAUAUCCAUCAAUCAGUGAGCUGUUACGCUUUCCUUAGAUGAUGACUGCUUCUAAGCCUACAUCCUGAUCGUCUUCGAACAUUCACAGCCUUUCUCACUUAGUUCAGAUUUAAGGACCUUGAUCAAAGGUCUGGGUUGUUUCCCUCUCCACUACGGACGUUAUCGCUCGCAGUGUGAUUAUCAAUUAAAUUUAACAACAGUAUUCAAAGUUUGGUUGAACUUUAAUAAAAUUCUUCAUUUUAACUGUUCAUCCAGAGCUCUACCCCUGUUGAGAUACAAUUAACAACCUACCUACAUAGGUUUCGCAGAGAACCAGCUAUCUCCGAGUUUGAUUGGCCUUUCACCCCUAACCACAGAUCAUCCCAACGUUUUGCAACACGUACGGGUUCGAUCCUUC